rnacentral:rRNA from 1 species
UGAGCAAUCUGCCCUUCUCUUCGGAAUAAGCGUUGGAAACGACGUCUAAUGCCGAAUACGACCUCCUUUCGCAUGAUCGGAGGUGGAAAGCUCCGGCGGAGAAGGAUGAGCUCGCGGCCUAUCAGCUAGUUGGUGUGGGUAACGGCCCACCAAGGCGACGACGGGUAGCCGGCCUGAGAGGGUGACCGGCCACACUGGGACUGAGACACGGCCCAGACUCCGUACGGGAGCAGCAGG